UACUGGAAACGGUAGCUAAUACCGCAUAACGUCGCAAGACCAAAGAGGGGGACCUUCGGGCCUCUUGCCAUCGGAUGUGCCCAGAUGGGAUUAGCUAGUUGGUGAGGUAACGGCUCACCAAGGCGACGAUCCCUAGCUGGUCUGAGAGGAUGACCAGCCACACUGGAACUGAGACACGGUCCAGACUCCUACGGGAGGCAGCAGUGGGGAAUAUUGCACAAUGGGCGCAAGCCUGAUGCAGCCAUGCCGCGUGUAUGAAGAAGGCCUUCGGGUUGUAAAGUACUUUCAGCGGGGAGGAAGGGAGUAAAGUUAAUACCUUUGCUCAUUGACGUUACCCGCAGAAGAAGCACCGGCUAACUCCGUGCCAGCAGCCGCGGUAAUACGGAGGGUGCAAGCGUUAAUCGGAAUUACUGGGCGUAAAGCGCACGCAGGCGGUUUGUUAAGUCAGAUGUGAAAUCCCCGGGCUCAACCUGGG
rnacentral:rRNA from 1 species